GAUCCUGGCUCAGGACGAACGCUGGCGGCGUGCCUAACACAUGCAAGUCGAACGGGACUAUUGAAGAAGCUUGCUUUUGAAAUAGUCAAGUGGCGGACGGGUGAGUAACGCGUGAGGACCUGUCUCCGGCAGGGGGACAACAAUUGGAAACGGAUGCUAAUACCGCAUAAGCCGAGAGGUGAAAGGAGCAAUCCGGCAGGAGAGGGACUCGCGUUCUAUCAGCUAGUAGGCGGGGUAAAGGCCCACCUAGGCG
rnacentral:rRNA from 1 species